GACGUAGGGGGCGAGCGUUGUCCGGAUUUAUUGGGCGUAAAGCGUGCGUAGGCGGCUGCGCAAGUCGGUUGUGAAACCCCGGGGCUCAACCCCGGAACUGCAUCCGAUACUGCGUGGCUAGAGGUAGGUAGGGGAGAUCGGAAUUCCUGGUGUAGCGGUGAAAUGCGCAGAUAUCAGGAGGAACACCGAUGGCGAAGGCAGCUCACUGGGACGGUACUGACGCUGAGACGCGAAAGCGUGGGGAGCAAACAGG
rnacentral:rRNA from 1 species